GUAAAAUGGGGAUAAUAUUGGGUAA
rnacentral:piRNA from 1 species